ACUGAUAGGAUAUUUUGACUCAUUUGGGAGUGGUAGUCUUGGAAUGCUGUACGUCCCAGUCUUGCCACAACGACUACACCAGCUGUUUGAUGCUGAUUCACCAGUAAUGUAUCUAGGUAUCAAGGGUCAGCACAUGACAGUUUCAUAAUGAAGCAAAGCCGCAUUUGGAUGAAGUACCAGCAUAGUGAUUUUGAUGGUACCAUUAUCCUUGGGGACAGUGGCUAUCCUCUGAAACCAUGGUUAAUGGUGCCCUUCAUACAGACACAUAAUGAUGCACAGGCCAAGUACAACAAGAGCCACAAAACUACAAGGUGCACUGUUGAGAGAGCUUUUGGAGUCGAGGUUUAGAUCUGGCCGGUUCCCGAUGCAUUCGCCAAAAGUGAAUGCACAGGUUGUUGUAGCUGUCUUUAAGCUACACAACCUGUGCAUCAACAACCAGCUACCUAACCCCGAGAUAGAGCCG